CUCCUGCAGCAAAAUGGACUUCUCUCUGGGACUUCGACUGGGGCCUCGGAAUAAGAAGGAUACCUACCAGGAGCCCCUUCCGUCCUCUGGGCGUGGACCGCCAACUACCUCUCCCUGCUUGUCCUGUCCCCCUUCAGCCUGUGUCUGCCCCUGUUCUAGCUGCCCCCCUCCCCCAUGCUCUUUCACUGCUUGUCCCUCAGACUCCGCUACUACCUGCCCUUCCUGUCCAGGCCUCCCUGGCCCACCCUGCACGUGUUCUUGCCCUCCUUGCCCUGCAUGUCCUCCCUCAGCGUGUCUGCAUACCUACUGCGCCCUCUGCUCGAGUCCAUCUAUGACCUACUGCCGCCCCUCGCCUUGCCCCAUUUACUCCUGUUCGGUGGGCCAAGCUACCUGUCUGAGCUCCCGCUUGGGCUGCAGUAGCGGCUGCAGCUGUGGCCGUGAUGUUGCAUGGGGGCCUCGGGGCUCCACCGGCUGCUGCAGUGUCUGCUUCAGGAGACAGAGGGCUUCUCGAGGGCUCUGUCAGAUAAUCUAGGCUGAGAGGCCGUGUCCCGAAAAUGGUGGUUCAGCUGGACCUGGAGCUACUUCCUCAAACAAAGGCUCCGAAUACAGCCUGGAUGGAAUCAGGCAGACCCCUGACUAAAGAGGACAGGGGACCACUCCUCCUUGGACAUUUGCUUUUGAGUGUGAUCCUGCUGGUUCCAAAACCUGCUCCUCUGUUCCCCCUGGAAAGCCUUCCUUGCAGCCCUUUAAAGCCUCCCCAGUGCUAAGGUGUUAGAUGUGUACCACUGUGCCUAGCUGAUGCAUGGAGAACUUUACAGUCCAGGAAUCAUGAUGCCAUCACCUGAGUCCACUGACGAAGCUUAGCCUCGCUAAAUGUGACAGAGAUGAGCACCGACACCGUUUGCCUGCUGUUACGAAGCAGCCUGAAGCAUCCAGCACUGCCUAGAAAAGAUACUCGCCAAAGAAGCCAACAAACCUCUCAAUGUGGAUUAAAUCAAGCCCUCAGUGCUGUCUUGUGUGUGUGCAUGUUCAUGAGUGUGGCAUGUGCACAUCCUGUGUGUGUACAGGGGUUCAUGGAGAUCAUCCCUAGGUCUUGUUCCUCAGAUCAUGGUCCACCUUGAUUUUAUUUUUUUUCUUUUUAAAUAUAAUCUCUCACUAGGUCCUGUCUCUGCAUUCUCAGCUCUGAAAUGACACUCUUGUCACCAUACCACGUCCACAGUAUUAAUAAGGGUCUCUGAGGAUUAAACUCAUAUCCAGUUUGUGUGUCAAGCGAUUGCUUUGCUUCCUGAACUAACUCCUCUGCCCCCUAUUUAAUGAGAAAUGCAGGAGAUGGGGAAACGUAAACGACAUGAGGAAGUGAGUAGACUCCGGCAAAAUGUGGGCGAUGUUAAAGAGAAUCUGACCCAGUUACCUAAAUAAGUCAUCAGCUGUGGGGAAAAUGAGAAGGAGCUUAAAACACAGAGACAGAGCUGAGAAUAUACUUCAGUGACAGAGCCCAUAUGUAGGGGGCCUGAGGGUGUGAGGGUGUGGACGACCACAGGGAGCUUUUGGAUCUCUUUUGUUCAAGACUUGGGGAUGCCAACUAUAAAGAUGUUUCAGAAGCUGAGGACAUUUAACUCUAGACUGGGUUGUAGUUUUUGUUUAUGAGACAGGAUCUUAUUAUAUAUGAUGGUCUGGACCUUGCUGUAUAGAUCUACCUGGUCUUGAGCUCACAGUGAUCCACCUGCCUCUGCCUUUCCAGUGCUAAGAUCAAAUGUAUGUGUCACCAUU